AGCGUUGUCCGGAUUUAUUGGGCGUAAAGCGAGCGCAGGCGGAAUGAUAAGUCUGAUGUGAAAGCCCACGGCUCAACCGUGGAACUGCAUCGGAAACUGUCAUUCUUGAGUGCAGAAGAGGAGAGUGGAACUCCAUGUGUAGCGGUGGAAUGCGUAGAUAUAUGGAAGAACACCAGUGGCGAAGGCGGCUCUCUGGUCUGCAACUGACGCUGAGGCUCGAAAGCAUGGGUAGCGAACAGGAUUAGAUACCCUGGUAGUCCAUGCCGUAAACGAUGAGCGCUAGGUGUUGGGGACUUUCCGGUCCUCAGUGCCGCAGCAAACGCAUUAAGCGCUCCGCCUGGGGAGUACGACCGCAAGGUUGAAACUCAAAGGAAUUGACGGGGGCCCGCACAAGCGGUGGAGCAUGUGGUUUAAUUCGAAGCAACGCGAAGAACCUUACCAGGUCUUGACAUCCUGCGCAAACUUAGAGAUAAGUCUUUCCCUUCGGGGACGCAGAGACAGGUGGUGCAUGGCUGUCGUCAGCUCGUGUCGUGAGAUGUUGGGUUAAGUCCCGCAACGAGCGCAACCCUUGUCUUUAGUUGCCAUCAUUAAGUUGGGCACUCUAGAGAGACUGCCGGUGACAAACCGGAGGAAGGUGGGGAUGACGUCAAGUCAUCAUGCCCCUUAUGACCUGGGCUACACACGUGCUACAAUGGGCAGUACAACGAGAAGCGAACCCGCGAGGGUAAGCGGAUCUCUUAAAGCUGUUCUCAGUUCGGACUGCAGGCUGCAACUCGCCUGCACGAAGCUGGAAUCGCUAGUAAUCGCGGAUCAGCACGCCGCGGUGAAUACGUUCCCGGGCCUUGUACACACCGCCCGUCACACCAUGGAAGUCUGCAAUGCCCAAAGUCGGUGGGAUAACCUUUAUAGGAGUCAGCCGCCUAAGGCAGGGCAGAUGACUGGGGUGAAGUCGUAACAAGGUAGCCGUAGGAGAACCUGCGGCUG
rnacentral:rRNA from 1 species